GACUUCUCCUUCCUGGGUCUCCAUCCCGGGGAGCGAGCACAUAGCAGCCCGCCCAAAACCUUCUCUUUUGGGAAACAGCUGGAAAAAGGACCGGGAAGGCAACAGGGACCGCCUUAGCCGGCAAGGGAAGGCACACAGCCGGCGCACAGACCCGCAGCGAGCCUGCACAGCUUUCCCGGCUUUUGGCUUGUCCCUGCUGUGUCUUCUGCGAUCACAGGCCUCUUCACUCAGCUUAACACUGAGAGCUUCAGGGGGUCUCUUGCAUUGGCAACAGCUGCUGAUCCCAAGUGUUAAACCAUCUGUUUUGAACCUCCACUAAGCCACUAAGGUAGUUCUGCAGACCACUUUGGAGCAUGGGAUGUCAUGUCCUGUUCUUCUCUAUGCAAGGCAUGGCUUAGGUCCAUUCCUGCAAGCUUCCCUGGGCCUCAGCUCAGAAAAAUAUGUGUUGUAGGAUGAACUCUUACAUGGAACACUGGCAGGACCCAGAGCUCUUCAGCAUUUUGUCACCUCUGCAGAAAGGUACAACACUGGUAAAGCAGCCAUCUAGAUUACAGUGAAACAGCUGCCACAUUCUCCUUAUUGAGGGUGCAUCACAGAAUGGGCUGUUUCUUCUGAGAGGACAACACAGCCUCCAGUUUGGCAGGUAAA